AAACAGCCCCCUAUGUUUUGAUUCUUUGGCAGUUUUGGACCCUCAAGGCAAAUAAAAAAUAAAAAAUUUGACAUGUGGCACCUCAUUUAGGGUGCCACGUCAGCGUUGACCGAGUCAACAAUGGACUGAGGGUCCAAAACUGCCAAAGAAUCAAAACAUAGGGGGCUGUUU
rfam:Medicago truncatula strain A17 chromosome 8, whole genome shotgun sequence.